CCUACGGGUGGCAGCAGUGGGGAAUAUUGGGCAAUGGAGGCAACUCUGACCCAGCAACGCCGCGUGAGCGAUGAAGGUCUUCGGAUUGUAAAGCUCUUUAAGCGGGGACGAAGAAUGCGACAGUACUCGCAGAAUAAGCCUCGGCUAACUACGUGCCAGCAGCCGCGGUAAGACGGAGGGGGCAAGCGUUAUCCGGAAGGACUGGGGGUAAAGGGUGCGUAGGUGGUUUGGCAAGUUAGUAGCGAAAUCCCGGGGCUCAACCUCGGUACUACUACCAAAACUGUUGUACUUGAGUGCAGGAGGGGUAGAUGGAAUUCCCGGUGUAGCGGUGGAAUGCGUAGAUAUUAGGAAGAACACCGGCGGCGAAGGCGGUUCACUGGACUGUAACUGACACUGAGGCACGAAAGCGUGGGUAGCAAACAGGAUUAGAUACCCUUGUAGUC
rnacentral:rRNA from 1 species